UCCCUGGAGGACGAGUGGUUAGGCCGCAGCUCUCACACUGCUGUAGCCCGGGUUUGAUUCCUAGCCAGGGAA